UACGUAGGGCGCAAGCGUUGUCCGGAAUUAUUGGGCGUAAAGAGCUCGUAGGCGGUUUGUCGCGUCUGCUGUGAAAACCUAAGGCUCAACCUUGGGCUUGCAGUGGGUACGGGCAGACUAGAGUGCGGUAGGGGUGACUGGAAUUCCUGGUGUAGCGGUGGAAUGCGCAGAUAUCAGGAGGAACACCGAUGGCGAAGGCAGUUAACUAUUCGGUUCCUGACGUUGAGGCACGAAAGCGUGGGGAGCAAGACGG
rnacentral:rRNA from 1 species